GUUGAGGGCUAGCUGUUUUAAGCAAAAUAGUUGAGGGCUAGGUGUUGAUCAUCUUAGCUCAACUCAAACCUGGCCAAGCACUGUAUGUUUGAUAGAUGUCACUCAACUGGCCCUCAACUAAAGCUGGCCAUUAAGUUGAGGAAAAGUUGAGCAAUUAAUCUUUGUUUUUCAUAUAGUUGAGCAAAAGUUGAGCAUUCAGACUUUGAAUUUUGUGAAUUUUUUGUAGUUGAGGAAAAGUUGAGCAUUCAGACUUUGAAUUUUUUGUAGUUGAGGAAAAGUUGAGCAUUCAGACUUUGAUUUUUUUUUUUUAUAGUUGAGCAAAAGUUGAGCAAUUAGAAAUAUGACCUGGUGAUAUAAAUGUUAGGGCAAGUGGACAGGAAGUAUUAUUAUAAAUAGUGAUAUUUAAAGUGUUC
rnacentral:lncRNA from 1 species